rnacentral:rRNA from 1 species
UACGAGAGGCCCAAACGUUAUUCGGAAUUACUGGGCUUAAAGAGCUCGUAGGUGGUUUGUCGCGUUGUUCGUGAAAACUCACAGCUCAACUGUGGGCGUGCGGGCGAUACGGGCAGACUGGAGUACUGCAGGGGAGACUGGAAUUCCUGGUUUAGCGGUGGAAUGCGCAGAUAUCAGGAGGAACACCGGUGGCGAAGGCGGGUCUCUGGGCAGUAACUGACGCUGAGGAGCGAAAGCGUGGGGAGCGAACAGG